GUUAGGAAUAUUGGACAAUGGGCGAAAGCCUGAUCCAGCCAUGCCGCGUGAACGAUGAAGGCCUUCGGGUUGUAAAGUUCUUUAGCCGAUGAUUAUAAUGACUGUAGUCAGAAAAUAAGCCCCGGCUAACUUCGUGCCAGCAGCCGCGGUAAUACGAAGGGGGCGAGCGUUAUUCGGAAUCACUGGGCGUAAAGCGUGCGUAGGCGGUUUUGUAAGUUAGGAGUGAAAGCCCAGGGCUCAACCUUGGAAUUGCUCUUAAAACUGCAAGGCUCGAAUCUCGGAGAGGAUAGCGGAAUUUCCAGUGUAGCAGUGAAAUGCGUAGAUAUUGGAAGGAACACCAGUGGCGUAAGCGGCUAUCUGGACGAGUAUUGACGCUGAGGCACGAAAGCGUGGGGAUCAAACAGGAUUAGAAACCCCAGUAGUCC
rnacentral:rRNA from 1 species